GUUGUCAAUUCAGAGAUCUGGAAUUGAAUCCAUUCUUCAUUAGGGUUUGGGAUGGUAAUAGAGUUACCUUCUUUGGCAGAAACCAGGUAUUGGAGGCGAGGUAGUGCCACAUCAGGAUAACUCAUUUCUUUAUACCGAACCACAAACUUGCACAGGUUAAUUUGUAGCUGGCCUUGGAAGACGCAACUAUAGUAAAUGGCUGCCUAUGGGCUAUUCCUAGAUCUCAAAAGAAUGGCCUUGUUAGACGGUUUAUUAGAGGUGAAGAUGGUGUGACCUUUGAUCGGCCUUCCUCUGCGUAUGAUCCAAAAGAUUUUGUGCCUAUUGAAGUCAAAGCUGGGUCUUUAAUUGUUAUUCAUGGUGAUCUUAUUCAUCAAAGGUCAGUUACAUUGUUUCUGUUGUUUCCGAAAUGGAAGAGACAUGUGAUUUGUCUCCUUUGCUGGAUGGUCUGAAAGGACUCUAGCUAUUUGCCUUUUUCCUGUCAAAUCAUUGGAUUACAGUUCGGAGAGCCAGUCUUUGAAGUCAAGGCAUGCGUAUAGCUUGCAUGUGGUGGGUACAGAUGGCUGCAAAUGGGCUCCAGAUAAUUGGUAAAUUUUACAUCGAUAAUUUCUAAGCUUUACAUUUUGUUUUCGGAGUGACUUGUACAGUAUACAUUUUCUGGUUUCUCUAGCUUUGAAGUAUGAAUCCCAACUAUGAACUUUUGUGAAUCAAACAAAUUGCCGAGUGUACCAGUAUCUAAUGUGUUAAGAAUAAGUGAAGGGUAGUUAUUGUGAGGAAGCAUUUUUAUCUGUUUGUAAUUAUCUUCUCUUGGAUGUUUGAAGUUCAUGUGUUUGAAUUUGUGGUGUUGGUUGACCAACCCUCUAACCUUUCAGAAACUAUCAUACAAGUAUGGAAAAACGUUCCAACUAAGAGAUAAUGGUAGGAGAAAAAUGCUACCUGUGCAGGACAAAAUUAUGUAGUACAGAAGAUGGUUUAUUUUUCACUUUUAUGUUUUGUUGGCUAUCUGCGCUCUUUUUAUUGUAGGGAUUUAUGACAUUGAGCUCUAUGACUUUUGUCCGACUUAGAGGCCCUAGCUCAGAAAUUGCACUGAUUGAACUUCUCUGGUUCUGUGAGAGAAGAUUUCUAGAGAGAGAGGGUCCUCCUUCUCUCUAGAAAUCUUCUCUAGAUCUGUCAUUAUUUUGAAAGUCCACCACCACUCCCACCCCACCCGCCACCACCUCUACCACUGCCCCCAUCACCUUCACCUUCGUCUCCACCUUCACCCAACCUCUUUUCUCGACCAGAUCGAUCUGCUCACUUCAUCAUUUACCACCUUCCUCUCUUUCCUCACCGGAUAUUUCCAGUGAUGGAAAACUCCAUGUUCACCACCAUCUUCACCUCCUCUCCAUCCCACGUUUUCUCCUUCUCCACAGACCAAAUCUCCUCUCGAGUCACCAAAUUUUUCUCUCUAAGUUCUACCCCUAAAUCUGUUCAUGCUUUCUUUGGACGGGAUUGACUAUGGUUGCUUCCAGAUCUGCUUACUUCUCCACCACAUCUAGGCAAGAUUUCUCCCGUUGGUGGAUUUUUGUCCACUUUAAAAAGGUUGUCCAGAUUGCUUCGGCAAUCACACCCACUACCGUUACUUUGUUUCUAUUGGGCGUUCUUGAGCCCUGUGUGUGUUCCAACAGGUGGAGGAGGUGGCAUGAUUUGUUUCUACGGCGGUGGCUUCUGUUCAUGGAACAGCAUGAAUGCGGCGGGGGUAUUUCUUUGCGGCAGCAGAUUCGGUGGUUGUUUGAUAGGAUUAGGGUUUGUAAUUUUUCUUUGGGCUUUUGGCUGUUAGCUGGGUUUGACCCAUUGUGGGUUUUAUUUUAUGUUUAAUGGGCCUAUGUGCCUCAUUUGCUGGGCCUAUGUGCCUCUUUAUCUGGGCCUAUGUGCCUCUUUUGCUGGAGUCUUCUGGGGUCUUAUGUACCUCUUGUAUUUUGCUUGAUCCUUUGGAUCUUCUAAUACAAUCAUUGACCAAAAAAAAAAAAGAGGCCCUAGCUCAAAUUUGUAUGUUUCUUGUAGCUGUUAACUGAUUUAUCCUAAAGCCUAUGGUUUUAUCUUGAA